ACAUGUUUAAUAUUUGCACAUUACAAGUAAAAUCUGUUCCCUUCAUUCAUGAUUCAGUGUGGUCACAGUAAAACUUCAGUCACUUUGCUAUUAUUAACAUGAUUUGAACAUACUGGAAAUGAUUUUAUCAUCAGAUACACUUUUGGGAACAAUAGAACACACAAACUGCCAUUGCAAAGCUAUAGAAAUAAAGCUGAGCUAGUAUUUAAUAAUUGAAAACUUAUCAGGUAUUUGUAUAUUGGCGCAGGGUUGGGUGUUUAUAAACCUGCCAAUUUCACUGCCUAUCUAAACCUCAACAGGAUACAAGACAAACCUGGGAGCUACAUAUUUAUUUUGCAAAUAAGUCAGUUUGGGGAUCAAAAUGACAGUACUGGUGCACAAGGUCCUUUAUUUAUCCAUUGCCUUACUCAAAAAACAUUGACGUCACUGGAAAGACUCCCCUUGACUUCAACAGGCUUUGGAUCAGGUCCACAAAUAGAGGUAGGGCAAUGGAAGUGCAAACUUUCCACUAUUAAGACUAAGAGGGUGGUUGGUGCUAAUUUAGGGCCUUGAUUAUUGACCUCACUGAUCAGAGUAGUGUAAAUUGCAAUACAAUUUCUUAUGGUGUGGAUAUCUGUCCAUUUUCUGGACCAAGAUCACCAAGCUUAUUUUACAUAGGUUACCAAAUAGUAAUUUUGUAUAGUCACCAUAACCCUGGAAAGAGAACAGGAGCUGAAUAUUUUGCACUGACAUUACCAACUGCCUACGCAUCCAGCCUGAAUGUCGCAAUUUAUUUUUUAAAAAUUGCUUAAACUCAGCUAGUCUAAUGCUAUUUCAACACUGCUAAAUUUAAUCAAGUUGUUUCUAGUGAUAAGAUGAAAAUUUCUUGUCUAGACUAAUGAAUGCAGAUUACAUAAAAUUCCAACAAUCACUUGAAAACCAAAAUGAAACUUCUUUUUUUAGAAACAUGAAAUAAAAAGGUAAAAAUUACAUUUAUUCCCCCCCCCCAUAAACAUUGAACAGUAGGAAAAGGCCAAAGGCUGCUUUGGUUUCAUCUUCUUCUUAAAAGAGAUCAUCUCUGAAAAGGCAUCAAAUGGCAUAAAUCCAGACAACAGCAGCACUAAUUCUUGAUUUUAAAAUGUGCCAGGAUUUCUACUUAGGACCUCUGGCAAUAAAAAUGAUGCCUGUAGUCUCUAUCCAUGCCAAAAAACAAAACAAAAAUUUUUUUAAAGCUUUUUCACCCCACAGGGUGCUGCAAUAUUGCAGGAGCUUCCUUUGCCUAGAAGCUAAAAUCCUGACCCAGAUUGCCUCGUAAAGACAGUACCAUGAAAAAGGUGAGAAAAGAUCACAGUGAACUAUUCAUCUCUACCUUCGAUUAUCAGUGCAAGUCCUGGCUACAGCUUAAAGGAAGUUCCCACCAGUUUCCAUAUCUCAGUGCAAGCUAAGUAAUAGGAGCACCAGUUAAAUUUUGACAGUCUUCAGGGAAAGACCUAGAUGCUUGCUUAUCUGACUAACAAAAGGUCACCGUGGAUCUCUUCCAGCUUAUUUUGAACUUCUUUUAAAAAACCACAACCAAAUUUUCCCUUUCCCUUCUCGAUAAUGAUUCUUCCACAUUGAACUGCAUUUGGCUGGUGCUUCAGACAACAUUACAGCUUAUUAGAGCUGGUUGGGAGCCACAAUUUCCAUUCUGCAGGAGAGCCUGACAAAAAAAAAUUGCUCCAAACCAGAACGAAAAGCCAAAAUUUUGUAGUUUCCUGUGAACCAAAAAUUAAGAGGGGGAAAAAAGAAAAAUCAACUUGGGACCAUCUAAACAUUUAUUUUCAAUAGCUUUGAAAUGUUUCAUCAAUGUAAAAACAUUUCAUUUCAAAAGUGUCAUUUCAAUUCAUUUUGUUGUGACUUUUAUACCAUAUUAAAAUAUUACAUACAUGUUUAAUACCAAAAGCCAAACAAAAAUCAAAAUUACUCUGAACACAAAAUGUUUUGACUUUUACCCAUUGCAAAAUUUAGUCAAAAAUCUGUACGUUCCUGCAAAAAGUUUUGAUUUAGUCAAAACUGCAUUAUGACAGAAAAGUGUUCUAUCCCAUUUUUUUUUUAAACCAGAUCUAUUUAACCCUUGAGGUGGGACCAUAGGGGCAAAUGACUCAAAUACAACCACUACUGGCUCAAGUCUGUUUCCUCAUGCAUGGAUGAGAGAGAGAUGCUGUAUUCAUUUUCCUCAAAAUGGAAAAGGAAACACCAGGCAAAUGAAACAUUUGAAUUCCACUGGGCACCCCUUUUAUCUGUAUGAUCAGGACCACUAAGGCAGCAGUCAGAAUGGAGAUAUUCAAGGCACGUGAUCCUUAAUGUGCAAAGGCCUUUAUUAUGCAUUUCACUGCAGACUAGAUUGGCCUCUUCCUUUAGCCUGAUAUUAAGCUGCCAUGAAUAAACAAUGUCCCACCCAAAUCCUAAAUUUAGAAUUUUCCUAACAUACUGCAAGCUAAUCUGCCAGGACCCAACUGACCCAACUUCCCAUGUUCUACUAGGACAGAGGGACUCCCUCCCAAUUUAACCACUGACCUCUAGUCUAUUUACAGCAGUGGAGAGAACAUGGGAUUAGUGCAAAGCUCUUUAUGCAGGUCGCAAGUUGCAGAGAAAUAGGCCAUUCUACGAAAAGGCACUUUUUCCACAUAAGCAGUGCUAGAUUUUACAUGAAAUUCAGAGGCAAAGAGUGUGACCAAAUAAAGCGCACGCUUUGUGAUGCAGCCUGACCAAAUUAAGUCCGUGCCUUGACCAUUAGGCUGUCCUUGGCUCAACUAACAUUUCAUUGCUCAGCUGGACUGAGGCCAAGUAAAAGAGAAAUACCAGAAAUAGGAUACCAUACUACCCAGACCAGGGAUCUGUUCCAGCCUGGCAAUUUCUUGCAUUUCUAUCCAUUUAUAUAGACAGGAAUAGCAGCUGCACUGACACAAGCUGGAAAAAACAUACAAGGGCUAUCAAUGCUAAUGUCUCAGAUAUAAAAUGUUCAUGAGGUAGGGCCCAGGAAGAUCCCCAGCGUAUAGUGUUGCAAAGUUACAAUGGGUACACAGUUUGCCUUCCUCUGAAAUAGCCAACAUCGGCUCCAGUGGAUGGAGACAGGAUACUGACAUACAGCAGCCCCAUGGUCUGUGUAAGAACACCGUUCCUAUGCUCUUAGACAUGGUUGGUUUUUGGUGUCUUAUGGAGUCUUCCUGACUUAAUUGCUUCCAGCUCCUUCCUGACUGCUAUGGGACAGCCCCUGGCCUGGUCACUCAGGGAAGAAAAAACUAUUCAUCCAGUGUCCAGUAUGUUUUCCUUCUACCAGACUCCUGCACCCAACCAGUCUGGGUCUGUCACAAUAGGCAGAUGGAAACUCUUCAGGAAUUCGAAGCACCCAGCUCUACCUAUUGCAUGUAGCAGCAUCUAAUAAAUCCCAACAAAGCA